AGCGAACGCUGGCGGCAGGCCUAACACAUGCAAGUCGAGCGGCCGUAGCAAUACGGCAGCGGCAGACGGGAGAGUAACACGUGGGAACGCGCCCUUCGGUUCGGGAUAACCCAGGGAAACUUGGGCUAAUACCGGAUACGCCCUUACGGGGAAAGAUUUAUUGCCGAAGGAACGGCCCGCGUCCGAUUAGCUAGUUGGUGAGGUGAUGGCUCACCAAGGCGACGAUCGGUAGCUGGUCUGAGAGGAUGACCAGCCUCACUGGGACUGAGACACGGCCCAGACUCCUACGGGAGGCAGCAGUGGGGAAUAUUGGACAAUGGGCGCAAGCCUGAUCCAGCCAUGCCGCGUGGGUGAUGAAGGCCCUAGGGUUGUAAGCCCUUUCAGCGGGGAAGAUAAUGACGGUACCCGCAGAAGAAGCCCCGGCUAACUUCGUGCCAGCCGCCGCAGUAACAC
rnacentral:rRNA from 1 species